AUUGAACGCCGGCGGCAGGCCUAACACAUGCAAGUCGAGCGGAUGAAGGGAGCUUGCUCCUGGAUUCAGCGGCGGACGGGUGAGUAAUGCCUAGGAAUCUGCCUGGUAGUGGGGGAUAACGUCCGGAAACGGGCGCUAAUACCGCAUACGUCCUGAGGGAGAAAGUGGGGGAUCUUCGGACCUCACGCUAUCAGAUGAGCCUAGGUCGGAUUAGCUAGUUGGUGGGGUAAAGGCCUACCAAGGCGACGAUCCGUAACUGGUCUGAGAGGAUGAUCAGUCACACUGGAACUGAGACACGGUCCAGACUCCUACGGGAGGCAGCAGUGGGGAAUAUGGGACAAUGGGCGAAAGCCUGAUCCAGCCAGGCCGCGUGUGUGAAGAAGGUCUUCGGAUUGUAAAGCACUUUAAGUUGGGAGGAAGGGCAGUAAGUUAAUACCUUGCUGUUUGGACGUUACCAACAGAAUAAGCACCGGCUAACUUCGU
rnacentral:rRNA from 1 species